AUUGAACGCUGGCGGCAGGCUUAACACAUGCAAGUCGAGCGGGGUGAUGGUGCUUGCACUAUCACUUAGCGGCGGACGGGUGAGUAAUGCUUAGGAAUCUGCCUAUUAGUGGGGGACAACAUCUCGAAAGGGAUGCUAAUACCGCAUACGUCCUACGGGAGAAAGCAGGGGAUCACUUGUGACCUUGCGCUAAUAGAUGAGCCUAAGUCGGAUUAGCUAGUUGGUGGGGGAAAGGCCUACCAAGGCGACGAUCUGUAGCGGGUCUGGGAGGAUGAUCAGCCACACUGGGACGGAGACACGGCCCAGACUCCGACGGGAGGCAGCAGUGGGGAAUAUUGGACAAUGGGGGGAACCCUGAUCUAGCCAUGCCGCGUGUGUGAAGAAGGCCUUAUGGUUGUAAAGCACUUUAAGCGAGGAGGAGGCUCUUUUGGUUAAUACCCAAGAUGAGUGGACGUUACUCGCAGAAUAAGCACCGGCUAACUCUGUGCCAGCCGCCGCGGUAA
rnacentral:rRNA from 1 species